UACGGGGGGGGCAAGCGUUGUUCGGAAUUACUGGGCGUAAAGGGCUCGUAGGUGGCCAACUAAGUCAGACGUGAAAUCCCUCGGCUUAACCGGGGAACUGCGUCUGAUACUGGUUGGCUUGAGUUUGGGAGAGGGAUGCGGAAUUCCAGGUGUAGCGGUGAAAUGCGUAGAUAUCUGGAGGAACACCGGUGGCGAAGGCGGCAUCCUGGACCAACACUGACGCUGAGGAGCGAAAGCCAGGGGAGCAAACGGGAUUAGAAACCCCCGUAGUCC
rnacentral:rRNA from 1 species